rnacentral:rRNA from 1 species
UAGGGAAUCUUCCGCAAUGGGCGCAAGUCUGACGGAGCAACGCCGCGUGAGUGAAGAAGGUUUUCGGAUCGUAAAACUCUGUUGUUAGAGAAGAACAAGUGCUAGAGUAACUGUUAGCGCCUUGACGGUAUCUAACCAGAAAGCCACGGCUAACUACGUGCCAGCAGCCGCGGUAAUACGUAGGUGGCAAGCGUUGUCCGGAUUUAUUGGGCGUAAAGCGAGCGCAGGCGGUUCCUUAAGUCUGAUGUGAAAGCCCCCGGCUCAACCGGGGAGGGUCAUUGGAAACUGGGGAACUUGAGUGCAGAAGAGGAGAGUGGAAUUCCAUGUGUAGCGGUGAAAUGCGUAGAUAUAUGGAGGAACACCAGUGGCGAAGGCGACUCUCUGGUCUGUAACUGACGCUGAGGCUCGAAAGCGUGGGUAGCAAACAGGAUUAGAUACCCUGGUAGUCCACGCCGUANCGAUGAGUGCUAAGUGUUGGAGGGUUUCCGCCCUUCAGUGCUGCAGUUAACGCAUUAAGCACUCCGCCUGGGGAGUACGACCGCAAGGUU